ACAAAGAUGAUUGAUGAAGGCAGAUUGUGGACGUUGUCUAUAUGGACACUGAACGAUGUUCCACAAAGCAGACUGGUUAGCAAGCACAACCAGAGCUGGACAGAGUAUUCCAGAAGAGGCCUCCCCAACAUCUUGUACAUCCCCAACAUAACGUCCCAACUCCUGUACUCCAAGGUCUGAACAAUCAAGGAUGAGGCUGUCACUGGCUCGGCCAGCAUUUAUUGCUGCGUUUACCCAGAGGGCAGUUAAGAGUCAACUGCGUUGCUAUAGGUCUGGAGUCCCAUGCAGACCAGACCAGAUCCCAGUGAUUAAUGCCAAAGCCCCAUUGCCUGGGGAGAGGGUGAUG